rnacentral:rRNA from 1 species
AAGGGAGAGGAAUAAGUAGAAAUCUACCCUCGGAUCGGGGAUAGCGGCGGGAAACUGCCGGUAAUACCCGAUAACGUCUUUGGACCAAAGGUGUGAUUCCGUCUGAGGAUGAGUCUACUUCCUAUUAGCUAGUUGGCGGGGUAAUGGCCCACCAAGGCAACGAUGGGUAGCAGGUGUGAGGGCAUGACCUGCCUCAUUGGGACUGAGACACUGCCCAGACACCUACGGGUGGCUGCAGUCGAGAAUCUUCGGCAAUGGACGAAAGUCUGACCGAGCGACGCCGCGUGCGGGAUGAAGGCCUUCGGGUUGUAAACCGCUGUCGGAGGGGAACAAAUGUACGGGGGUACUCCCCUGUAUUUGAGUGAACCUAGGAGGAAGGAGAGGCUAAGCUCGUGCCAGCAGCCGCGGUAAGACGAGCUCUCCGAACGUUAUUCGGUAUCACUGGGCUUAAAGAGUUCGUAGGCGGUCUGGUAGGUGAGGUGUGAAAUCCCCCGGCUCAACCGGGGAACUGCGCUUCAAACCGCCGGACUUGAGGGAGACAGAGGUGGGCGGAACAGAUGGUGGAGCGGUGAAAUGCGUUGA